rnacentral:rRNA from 1 species
UACGAAGGGGGCAAGCGUUGUUCGGAAUCACUGGGCGUAAAGGGCGUGUAGGCGGCCGGUCAAGUCAGGUGUGAAAUUCCCGGGCUCAACCUGGGGGCUGCGCUUGAUACUGAUUGGCUUGAAUGCGGGAGAGGAUAGUGGAAUUCCCGGUGUAGAGGUGAAAUUCGUAGAUAUUGGGAAGAACACCGGUGGCGAAGGCGGCUAUCUGGCCCGUAAUUGACGCUGAGGCGCGAAAGCGUGGGGAGCAAACAGG